rnacentral:rRNA from 1 species
UACAGAGGGUGCGAGCGUUGUUCGGAAUUAUUGGGCGUAAAGGGCGCGUAGGCGGUGCGGUAAGUCACCUGUGAAAUCUCCUGGCUCAACUGGGAGCUUGCAGGCGAAACUGCCGUGCUGGAGUGUGGGAGAGGUGCGUGGAAUUCCCGGUGUAGCGGUGAAAUGCGUAGAGAUCGGGAGGAACAUCUGUGGCGAAGGCGGCCACCUGGACCAACACUGACACUGAGGCACGAAAGCGUGGGGAGCAAACAGG